rnacentral:rRNA from 1 species
GAUGAACGCUGGCGGCGUGCCUAAUACAUGCAAGUCGAGCGAACAGACGAGGAGCUUGCUCCUCUGACGUUAGCGGCGGACGGGUGAGUAACACGUGGAUAACCUACCUAUAAGACUAGGAUAACUUCGGGAAACCGGAGCUAAUACCGGAUAAUAUAUUGAACCGCAUGGUUCAAUAGUGAAAGACGGUUUUGCUGUCACUUAUAGAUGGAUCCGCGCCGCAUUAGCUAGUUGGUAGGGUAACGGCUUACCAAGGCAACGAUGCGUAGCCGACCUGAGAGGGUGAUCGGCCACACUGGAACUGAGACACGGUCCAGACUCCUACGGGAGGCAGCAGUAGGGAAUCUUCCGCAAUGGGCGAAAGCCUGACGGAGCAACGCCGCGUGAGUGAUGAAGGUCUUCGGAUCGUAAAACUCUGUUAUUAGGGAAGAACAAAUGUGUAAGUAACUAUGCACGUCUUGACGGUACCUAAUCAGAAAGCCACGGCUAACUACGUG